ACAGAUAUGUGUUAUGUUCAUAUUAUGUAUAGGAAUAUUACAUUAUGUAUUUUAAAAGGUGUUGUUCAAUAAAUCAAAACCACUACUUUCCUUCUUCAGGUCAACCAUGUUUUCAUGAAAAAAAAAAAUCAAUUUGUGUAUGUCAAAUUUAGGCGAAAAUAAACACACACACACACACACACACACACACAUUAAAAACCCCCAGUGCUUACACACAUAAAGCACCUUAUGAAUCAGAAUUUUUAAAUUUCUUUUUUACAUUUUUUUUAAUAAAUAGCCUAUUUAUUAUUAGAUACAGUGUGAAUUAUCCAUGGGAUUAUGUUAUUCAUAAAUGGUUAUAAUUUUAAAGUUUUGUGUUUUGAGUAAGCUUCAAUGGAAAUGCUUCAAAUGCUUCAAGAGAUUAAACACAGUCUUACGGUGAAAAUGAAUUUUAAUGGAAAAAAGGAUGAUGAUAACCACAGUGAUCAAAGAAAUGACAAUUGCAACGACAAGACUUCUGUUCAGAUCUAAUGAAGAGGGAAAAUACACAUCAUACUUAUAAAACAAAUCCAGUCCUGUAAUAUGCAUUGUUAUUAGAUUAGGAAAUAACAUACUGCAUUACUGAAUUUUGCCAUGAUUUAGAAAAAACACAAAACAUAAGUAUGCAGUUAAUCUACAUACAGAUUUAUGUUGUAUUGAGUUUCUUCACUGUCUCACUAUUAAACAGAUGUCUCACAUGGAUCACUGGUCGCUUUACUCACUGCGUUCUCGAGUGUGCAUGUGUAGAAGUUUUCUGGAUUUCCUUGUUUUUCAACUAUGAUGAACUCUCCUUUCAUUUGUUGCUUUAAGCCCUUCAGUGUUUCUCCAGGUGAAUACUUCCAGAUGAUCGUUACAUUGUACUCGCAUAUUAAAUAAACAACAUCUGGGUUAA